GACGAACGCUGGCGGCGUGCCUAACACAUGCAAGUCGAACGGGGUAUUUCUUCGGAGAUACUUAGUGGCGAACGGGUGAGUAACGCGUGAGAAACCUGCCUUUCAGUGGGGGACAACAGUUGGAAACGACUGCAAAUACCGCAUAACGUUAUUUGGGGGCAUCCUCGAAUAACCAAAGAUUUAUUGCUGAAAGAUGGUCUCGAGUCUGAUUAGCUAGAUGGCGGGGUAACGGCCCACCAUGGCGACGAUCAGUAGCCGGUCUGAGAGGAUGAACGGCCACAUUGGGACUGAGAUACGGCCCAGACUCCUACGGGAGGCAGCAGUGGGGAAUAUUGGGCAAUGGGCGAAAGCCUGACCCAGCAACGCCGCGUGAAGGAAGAAGGCCUUCGGGUUGUAAACUUCUUUUAGCAGGGACGAAUUUUGACGGUACCUGCAGAAAAAGCAACGGCUAACUACGUGCCAGCAGCCGCAGUAAAAC
rnacentral:rRNA from 1 species